rnacentral:rRNA from 1 species
GAUGAACGCUGGCGGCGUGCUUAACACAUGCAAGUCGAACGGUGAAAGCGGAGCUUGCUCUGCUGGAUCAGUGGCGAACGGGUGAGUAACACGUGAGCAACCUGCCCCGGACUCUGGGAUAACAGUUGGAAACAGCUGCUAAUACCGGAUACGAGCUGCGAAGGCAUCUUCAGCAGCUGGAAAGAACUUCGGUCUGGGAUGAGCUCGCGGCCUAUCAGCUUGUUGGUGGGGUAAUGGCCCACCAAGGCGACGACGGGUAGCCGGCCUGAGAGGGUGACCGGCCACACUGGGACUGAGACACGGCCCAGACUCCUACGGGAGGCAGCAGUGGGGAAUAUUGGACAAUGGGCGAAAGCCUGAUCCAGCAACGCCGCGUGAGGGAUGACGGCCUUCGGGUUGUAAACCUCUUUCAGCAGGGACGAAGCGAAAGUGACGGUACCUGCAGAAGAAGCACCGGCCAACUACGUGCCAGCAGCCGCCGUAACAC